rnacentral:rRNA from 1 species
GACGAACGCUGGCGGCGUGCCUAAUACAUGCAAGUAGAACGCACAGUUUAUACCGUAGCUUGCUACACCAUAAACUGUGAGUUGCGAACGGGUGAGUAACGCGUAGGUAACCUGCCUGGUAGCGGGGGAUAACUAUUGGAAACGAUAGCUAAUACCGCAUAAUAUUGAUUAUUGCAUGAUAAUUGAUUGAAAGAUGCUAUUGCAUCACUACCAGAUGGACCUGCGUUGUAUUAGCUAGUAGGUGAGGUAACGGCUCACCUAGGCGACGAUACAUAGCCGACCUGAGAGGGUGAUCGGCCACACUGGGACUGAGACACGGCCCAGACUCCUACGGGAGGCAGCAGUAGGGAAUCUUCGGCAAUGGACGAAAGUCUGACCGAGCAACGCCGCGUGAGUGAAGAAGGGUUUCGGAUCGUAAAGCUCUGUUGUAAGAGAAGAACGGGUGUGAGAGUGGAAAGUUCACACUGUGACGGUAUCUUACCAGAAAGAGACGGCUAACUACGUG